rnacentral:rRNA from 1 species
UACAGAGGGUGCGAGCGUUAAUCGGAAUUACUGGGCGUAAAGCGUGCGUAGACGGUUUCGUAAGUCGGGUGUGAAAGCCCCGGGCUCAACCUGGGAAUUGCAUUCGAGACUGCGUAGCUAGGGUGCGGAAGAGGGAAGCGGAAUUUCCGGUGUAGCGGUGAAAUGCGUAGAUAUCGGAAGGAACAUCAGUGGCGAAAGCGGCUUCCUGGUCCAGCACCGGCGUUCAGGCACGAAAGCGUGGGGAGCAAACGGG